rnacentral:rRNA from 1 species
AGUGAACGCUGGCGGUAGGCCUAACACAUGCAAGUCGAACGGCAGCACAGUAAGAGCUUGCUCUUACGGGUGGCGAGUGGCGGACGGGUGAGGAAUACAUCGGAAUCUACUUUUUCGUGGGGGAUAACGUAGGGAAACUUACGCUAAUACCGCAUACGACCUACGGGUGAAAGCAGGGGAUCUUCGGACCUUGUGCGAUUGAAUGAGCCGAUGUCGGAUUAGCUAGUUGGCGGGGUAAAGGCCCACCAAGGCGACGAUCCGUAGCUGGUCUGAGAGGAUGAUCAGCCACACUGGAACUGAGACACGGUCCAGACGCCUACGGGAGGCAGCAGUGGGGAAUAUUAGACAAUGGGCGCAAGCCUGAUCCAGCCAUACCGCGUGUGUGAAGAAGGCGUUCGGGUUGUAAAGCCCUUUUGUUGGGAAAGAAAAGCAGCAGGUUAAUACCCCGCUGUUCUGACGGUACCCAAAGAAUAAGCACCGGCUAACUUCGUG